CGAGAGUAAGCUAGAGACAUGAGAGAGACAUUUUGUUGGUAGGUAAAAACAAGAGUAUUUUCGAAUAACUAAGAGAUAUAUGAGAGAGAAGUAGGUAAAAACAAGAGUAUUUUCGAAUAACUAAGAGAUAUAUGAGAGAGAAAGAGAGACGUGAGAGAAAAAGAAAGAGAGACGUGAGAGAAAAAGAAAGAACGACGUGAGAGGCGUUUCUUGAUAGGUAAAAACAAAAUUAUUUUUGAAUAACUAAAACAAUAUUUAAUCACCAUGUCCCAUGCACAUCAUCUUUUUGAUAAGUUAAAACAAAAGUAUUUUUGAAUAUCUAAAACAAUAUUUAAUCACUAUGUCCCAUGCAGGACUCCACUCAUGUAGUGCUUAACUGGAACCGUUUCACCAUUGUCAAACCUUCGCAUUAUUAAUAUGACGCUUUAAAACUUUCUCACCAUUGUCAAACCUUUGCGUUAUUAGUAUGACGCUUUAAAACUUUUUCACCAUCGUCAGAUCUUCGCGUUAUUAGUACAAGGUUUUUAACCAACUGAGCUAAUAGUCCAGAUGUAGUAAAGUGUAAUUGGCGAGAUAUAGUAAAGUACAACAAACUACUAAAUUCAAUAGGC
rnacentral:lncRNA from 1 species